rnacentral:rRNA from 1 species
GUAGGUGGCAAGCGUUGUCCGGAAUUAUUGGGCGUAAGGCGCGCGCAGGCGGUUCUUUAAGUCUGAUGUGAAAGCCCACGGCUCAACCGUGGAGGGUCAUUGGAAACAGGAGAACUUGAGUACAGAAGAGGAAAGCGGAAUUCCACGUGUAGCGGUGAAAUGCGUAGAGAUGUGGAGGAACACCAGUGGCGAAGGCGGCUUUCUGGUCUGUAACUGACGCUGAGGCGCGAAAGCGUGGGGAGCAAACAGGGAUUAGAUACCCUGGUAGUCCACGCCGUAAACGAUGAGUGCUAAGUGUUAGGGGGUUUCCGCCCCCUUAGUGCUGCAGCUAACGCAUUAAGCACUCCGCCUGGGGAUACGGCGCAAGGCUG